UCAUAAAAUCUUCAUUUUAGGUCACAGGAGACAUCUCCCACAACGGUUACAAGUUGAAUGAGUUUGUUCCUCACAAGACGUCAGCUUAUAUAAGUCGAUAUGACCUGCACAUUUCUCACAUGGCUGUGAGAGAAACACUAGACUUCUCAGCACGUUGUCAGGGCAUUGGAAGCAGAACAGAAAUCAUGAAGGAAGUCAGCAGAAGGGAGAAGCAAGCUGGAAUUAUCCCAGAACUAGACAUAGACACUUACAUGAAGGUAAAAAAUAAUGUUCCACAAAAUUAUGGCAGCUUGGUCCAUUCUCUUCCUGACUAUUUGCGAUGGUAAAUUACACCAACAGGCAAUUUCCAUAGAAGGAUUAAAAAGAACUCUUCAGACAGACUACAUUUUAAAGGUAACUUUCCUCAACAAAGUUAAAAAAAAAAAAAUCAAGAACCACUUUCCAACUUUUGUUUAGUCAAAGGCUAUUAUUCUACCACCACUUUUAUGGCUAUUCAGAUCCUUGGGCUGGACAUUUGCGAGGAUACAAUUGUGGGAGAUGCUACGAGAAGAGGGAUAUCAGGUGGUCAAAAGAAAAGGCUAAAAACAGGUUGGGGCUACAGAGUUGUCAUUGACUGUUUCUAGACCUUCUGUCUUCUACAAGCAAAGAGAUUUAUACUUUUACCCUGCAUGGGCUUAUUCCAUUCCAGCAGCCAUUCUGAAGAUCCCAUUUUCAUUUCUAGAUGCUUUUCUUUGGACUGCUCUCACCUAUUAUGUCAUUGGUUACAGUCCUGAACCAGAAAGGUUUCUUGGCCAGUUCCUUCUUCUUUUCCUUUUACACCAAGUAGCAAUAUCUUUUUUCCGUUUCGUUGCAUCCGUGUUCCAGAAUCCAUCUGUCGGUGCAUCUUGUGGUCUCUUCUCCUUGUUAGUAAUGUUCUUAUUUGGUGGCUUUAUUAUUCCGCGUCGUAAGGACAUAGCAUGAUUUCAUUUAAGACCAUUCUAUCCAAAGUAGAUACUUCUGCUAACAUAAUUAUAUGUCUCUGUCAAUGCAGCCAUUUUGCCUACUUCGCUAAAAUGGGCCUUCUGCCUUUCUCCAUUAACAUAUGCAGAGAUCGGUGUUUCAGUAAAUGAAUUCCUUGCCCCAAGGUGGCAAAAAGGAUGGUUUUACCGUUUGCCAAUGACAAUAACGUUCGAGAAUGUGCAAUAUUUUGUCGACACUCCUAA